AAUCAACGCUGGCGGCGUGCCUAACACAUGCAAGUCGAACGAGAAAGUGGGGGCAACUCCAUGAGUACAGUGGCAGACGGGUGAGUAACACGUGAACAAUCUACCCUUGAGUGGGGAAUAACACCGCGAAAGCGGUGCUAAUACCGCAUAACAUCUCCGGAUCGCAUGAUCUGGAGAUCAAAAGCGCAAGUUGCUCGAGGAGGAGUUCGCGCCUGAUUAGCUAGUUGGUGAGGUAACGGCCCACCAAGGCAACGAUCAGUAGCCGGCCUGAGAGGGCGAACGGCCACACUGGAACUGAGACACGGUCCAGACUCCUACGGGAGGCAGCAGUGGGGAAUUUUGCGCAAUGGGCGAAAGCCUGACGCAGCAACGCCGCGUGGAGGAUGAAGGCCUUCGGGUCGUAAACUCCUGUCAGUGGGGACGAAUGCUUCGCAAGAAGUUUGGCUGUACCCGCUGAGGAAGCCACGGCUAACUCCGUGCCAGC
rnacentral:rRNA from 1 species